rnacentral:lncRNA from 1 species
CACUGGUGGAUUGUGAGACUCAUGAGAAUUAUCUAGAUGAUAAAUAAUUCUCAUUGAACUGAGUUGGAAUUGUUCUGAUCCAUUGAAAGGAGUUUCAGUGAUAUUGUUGAUAGUGAUCAAAAUAUAUCUCACUACCAGAUAGAAUAGAACCUAUGGGGUCACACACAUAAGAGGUUGUGAUUGAUCGGAUAGCUAGAUUGCGAUUAUUGAAUCGCUGAAGGACCUAAUUGUCAAUAUGUUGAUAAUUGGACUAAUUUGUAAUUGCUACAAAUUAGUGGUAUUAAAGUGUAAAUGUUAUAGGAGAGGACUUACUAAUAGUUAGUAAAUUAUAAGAGCGCUUAUGUGCAAUUAUUGCAUUAUUAAUUUGAUAAGAUCAAAUUAAUAUAAAAUUCAAGUCGAAUCAAAUUAGAAUUUGAUCGAUCUAACCAAUUAAGAAAAGGAUAAAUUUAAAUCUAGAUUUAUACUUCUCCUUAAUUGUCAUUAUAUUAUUAGGAAUAGAAUUAUAUUCCUAUAUAUAAUAUAUGGGAGUUUUUAGAAAACCCUAGCCGUCAUCUCUCUUCUCCUCUCCCUUCCAUAUUCUAGCAAGAACGACGUCUUUUGCAAAGGAGCUAGCACCCCGGUGAGGAUAUCGAUCAAAUCAUCAACCUCGUGUGGAUACCUAUAGAAGCCGGACGUGUGUACGGCUUCAAGAGAACCCAAUUCCACGAUCAUCAAGUUGAGGAGAAGAUCUAUCCACGAAAAAGGUAAAGAUUCGAUCUUGUUUUUCUUCUUUAAUCUUAAAGAACAUGAGGGAUCCUAAUUGCGUGGUUUUUGAGAUUGGAUCUCGAGAGUUUUCAAAAUCAAAUUUGUUUGAUUCUUUUUCCGCUGCGUUUUUACCGUACGCAAUUUUCUAACACAAGUAUGAAUGCCAUAUUCGCAAGUCCAAUUUCAUCCUACGGUAACGCUCGACUCUACAGUUCAGUAACCCCACUAAUCAAG